rnacentral:rRNA from 1 species
AGUGAACGCUGGCGGUAGGCCUAACACAUGCAAGUCGAACGGCAGCACAGUAAGAGCUUGCUCUUACGGGUGGCGAGUGGCGGACGGGUGAGGAAUACAUCGGAAUCUACUUUUUCGUGGGGGAUAACGUAGGGAAACUUACGCUAAUACCGCAUACGACCUACGGGUGAAAGCAGGGGAUCUUCGUACCUUGCGCGAUUGAAUGAGCCGAUGUCGGAUUAGCUAGUUGGCGGGGUAAAGGCCCACCAAGGCGACGAUCCGUAGCUGGUCUGAGAGGAUGAUCAGCCACACUGGAACUGAGACACGGUCCAGACUCCUACGGGAGGCAGCAGUGGGGAAUAUUGGACAAUGGGCGCAAGCAUGAUCCAGCCAUACCGCGUGGGUGAAGAAGGCCUUCGGGUUGUAAAGACCUUUUGUUGGGAAAGAAAAGCAGCAGGUUAAUACCACGCUGUUCUGACGGUACCCAAAGAAUAAGCACCGGCUAACUUCGUG